AUGGAUGAUCGGGAAGCUCUGGUGUACCAGGCGAAGCUGGCUGAGAGCAGGCUGAGCGAUACAACGAAAUGGUGGAAUUAAUGAAGAAAGUAGCAGGAAUGGAUGUGGAGCUGACAGUUGAAGAAAGAAAUCUCCUAUCUGUUGCAUAUAAAAAUGUGAUUGGAGCUAGAGGAGCCUCCUGGAGAAUAAUUAGCAGCAUCGAACAGAAAAAAGAAAACAAGGGAGGAGAAAACAAACUAAAAAUGAUUCAGGAAUGUCGGCAAAUGGUUGAGACUGAACUAAAGUUAAUCUGUUGUGACAUUCUGGAUGUACUGGACAAACACCUCAUUCCAGCAGCUAACACUGGCGAGUCCAAUGUUUUCUAUUAUAAAAUGAAAGGGGACUACCACAGGUAUCUGGCUGAAUUUGCCACAGGAAAUGACAGUAAGAAGGCUGAGGAAAACAGCCUAGUGGCUUAUAAAGCUGCUAGUGAUAUUGCAAUGAGAGAACUUCCACUAACGCAUCCAAUUCGUUUAGGUCUUGCUCUCAACUUUUCCUUAUUCUAUUAUGAAAUUCUUAAUUCUCCUAACAGGGCCUGCAGGUUGGCAAAAGCAGCUUUUGAUGAUGCAAUUGCAGAUCUGGAUACUCUGAGUGAAGAAAGCUAGAAAGACUCUACACUUAUCAUGCAGUUGUUACGUGAUAAUCUGACACUAUGGACUUCAGACAUGCAGGGGGAUGGUGGAGAGCAGAAUAAGGAAGCGCUGCAGGAUGUGGAAGAUGAAAAUCAGUGAGACAGAAAAGCCAACAAGAGAAACCAUCUCUGACUACCCCAGUCCUCCCCACCCCUUCCCUUGUGAAGUCCCUAUUGUUACUGAGAACCACAAAAUCUGACUUUCACAUUUGGUCUCAGAAUUUAGGUUCCUGCCCUGUUUUGUUUUUUUUUUUAAACAGUUUUCAAAAGUUCUUAAAGGCAAGAGUGAAUUUCUGUGGAUUUUACUGGUCCCAGCUUUUAGGUUCUUUAAGACACUAACAGGACUGUGUAGAGGCUUUUUCAGCAUUACUGUAUUGUCUCCAUGCCAGAAGUGGCAAGAUC